rnacentral:lncRNA from 10 species
GACCUCAAGUGAUUCAGCCGCCUCGCCUCCCAAAGUGCUGGGAUUACAGGUGUGAGGCACCACAUCCGACCUCUGCUCUUCCUCAAAGGCCACCAAAUCAUGCCAGCUAACUGUGCAAAGAUGUUAGCCUGAUAGUCAAAGCUCUUCCCAGACUCUUAUAAACAUAGAAGAACAUAGCGGUUAAGAACAUGAGCUCUGCAGCAGGAUUACACGGAUUCCAAUCUCAGCUCAGCCACAUACUAGCUGUGUGAUGUUGGGUGAGAACAUUGAGGCCUAGGGCAUUUCAAUAGCUUGCCAAAGGGCUCAUCAUUCUCGGGUAACAGGAUGAGGCCAGACACCAAGGAUCCCUGGAUCCAUGCCCUACUCUCCACACUUGUCUUGGGUCUAUGAAGCCCCCAGUCCCAAGGUAAGUCAUGUCAUUGUGGAAAUUAAUUGCAACCUUUCAUGAUUGUCCGAUCCCAUCUAUGGGUUUCAAGGAAGAUUAUGAAGUCCUUAGAACCACAAUGUGUCUAAUUUUUAUUCUGUAUUUUAUUUAUUUUUAAAUGUCUGAGAUGCUGAGAACCUGAGAUAUCACUCAUCUCAUCUUCCUGAAUUUUAUGAACUAAGAAGCGAAAGCUCACCCAAAGCCAUUUAUAGAGUCUAUGGAAAAAGAAGGACUAGACCCUGGAUUCCGUGAUUUACAGGUUUUUCUUCUCCUAAUUUUCAAUCCACUCCAAAACAUGCAGAGAGAUGACCUUAGCAAAGAUGUUUAUUAGUGUACGUUGGUGCUGUUGUUUCGGGGAGGGGGUCGGAAGGUCUUGGAAUCACCUUUGAAAACGAUGUUCCUUGGGGGUAGGAGCAU